rnacentral:rRNA from 1 species
GUAGUCCACGCCCUAAACGAUGGAUACUAGGCGUUGGAGGUAUCGACCCCUCCAGUGCCGCAGCUAACGCACUAAGUAUCCCGCCUGGGGACUACGGCCGCAAGGUUGAAACUCAAAUGAAUUGACGGGGACCCGCACAAGCGGUGGAGCAUGUGGAUUAAUUCGAUACUAACCGAAGAACCUUACCCAGACUUGACAUCGAUCGUAAGCCUAUGAAAGUAGGCCCUCUCCCACAAGGAGACGUGAAGACACUUGUUGCAUGGCUGUCGUCAGCUCGUGCCGUGAGGUGUACGGUUAAGUCCGCCAACGAGCGCAACCCUUGUCGUGUGUUACCAGCGAGUAAAGUCGGGGACUCACACGAGACCGCCGGUGUAAGCCGGA